CUCUCCGUAGUUCAAUGGAUAGAACGAGCGCCUCCUAAGCGCUAGAUACAGGUUCGAUUCCUGUCGGAGAGGCCA
rnacentral:tRNA from 1 species